UGUUUAGUUGAAUAAGUAAUCCAACCUUUUUUUUAUUUGGAUGAUAGAUAUACGUAUCAAUUACAGAAUUAUACGUAAGUAUUAUCAUUUCUUUUCGUAUCCAGCCUCAGUCUAUUUCCGUCUAUAUAAUUAUCACUAAAA
rnacentral:sRNA from 1 species